rnacentral:misc_RNA from 1 species
UCCGAGUUGACCCCGGCAGUCUCCAAUGAGUCCCCACCAUUACGCGCUGGCAACAUUGAAUAAGGGUUGCGCUCGUUGCGGGACUUAACCCAACAUCUCACGACACGAGCUGACGACAACCAUGCACCACCUGUACACCCCCAACUAAAUGAAACGCCAUCUCUGACGCGACUGGGCAUAUGUCAAAUCCAGGUAAGGUUCUUCGCGUUGCAUCGAAUUAAGCCGCAUGCUCCGCCGCUUGUGCGGGCCCCCGUCAAUUCCUUUGAGUUUUAGCCUUGCGGCCGUACUCCCCAGGCGGGGCGCUUAAUGCGUUAGCUACGGCACAGGAACCGUGAACCAGUCCCCACACCUAGCGCCCAACGUUUACAGCAUGGACUAC